rnacentral:rRNA from 1 species
GACGAACGCUGGCGGCGUGCCUAAUACAUGCAAGUAGAACGCUGAAGGAGGAGCUUGCUCUUCUGGAUGAGUUGCGAACGGGUGAGUAACGCGUAGGUAACCUGCCUGGUAGCGGGGGAUAACUAUUGGAAACGAUAGCUAAUACCGCAUAAGAGUAGAUGUUGCAUGACAUUUGCUUAAAAGGUGCAAUUGCAUCACUACCAGAUGGACCUGCGUUGUAUUAGCUAGUUGGUGGGGUAACGGCUCACCAAGGCGACGAUACAUAGCCGACCUGAGAGGGGGAGCGGCCACACUGGGACUGAGACACGGCACAGACGCCUACGGGAGGCAGCAGUAGGGCAUCGUCGGCAAUGGGCGGAAGUCUGACCGAGCAACGCCGCGUGAGGGAAGAAGGUUUUCGGAUCGUAAAGCUCGGUUGUAAGAGAAGAACGAGUGUGAGAGUGGAAAGUUCACACUGUGACGGUAUCUGACCAGAAAGGGACGGCUAACUACGUG